UUACAUUAAUCAGUUUUUUUCUUUCGUACACUUGCUUCAUGCGAGUUUAUGGAAAUCGCUCGCGAUAAUUAGGUGAUGUCGGUUAAAAAUUUCAGUAGCGUAACGCGCAAACCAUACCCCCUGUAUCUCAGUAUCUAUAAUUCUACCGUAAUAAAUCUGUAGUGUAGAGUAUUAAAGUUAAGUGGAAUUUGAAUAUCGCUUCCUUCACCAUCAAGUUCCGGACGAGAGGCAGUGGUUCGCCAUAUGGUUGGGAUGUCUAAUCGGCUUACCCCUUCCUCGGGAUAAAUAUGUAAAUCUUAUGUUGAUUCAUUCAUCAUCCUUAAAUAACAAGAUUGACUUAAACAGAAAGUCUUUUUUACGAGUUUUCGAACUUUGAAUACAUAAUAUAAAUAGUAUAGGUUACAUUUUAUAAAGUGAAAAGGGAAAUCCAACAAAGUCGACCACGACCGGAUGCCCGAUUACCAGGUCAGUUAUCCCCUCUUUUCUGGCCACGCCCCAUGCGUUGUCCUUACAAAAAUGCGAUGGAGAGAAUGUUUCCAAUGAUUAGAACAAUACUGUACACCAAUAAUUGAUAUAUAUUGACUUUGGGCAAAAUAGCCAAAUUCCACAUUGACCAGGCAAGAUAAUCUUUAUAAUUUCAUUUGUUCUGUUUUUUAAUAAAUAAGACAUUAGUUGUCGAUUAAAAUCGAAUAUUCGCGCAACAUGGGCCAACGCCAAACUAUUGUAUGCUUAUCCUCAUCGGUGGAUCCCGAAAAGGACAACUCAUUGGGUACACCUGUGGACCCGCCAAAGUUUUUACACAUGGUCAAUGGGUAAGUUGGUAAAACGAUUUUAAAUUUCGUUUUAAUGUAAAUAAAGUGUUAUAAAAAAUUGAGUACAAAAUGAAAGUAUAUUAACAAUUAUAUUAUUCAUACUUCCACUUUGAUAUCCAAUUCACACUGAUUAACCAAUCCGAGCCUAAAUAUUUCUCAUCACUAUGCCUCAACCCCCCCAAACUGUAGGUAUGGUUAUUGUGUGUCUCUUGAUUGUAAGAUGAUGCGACCAAUUAUUAUGGAUUAAUGCCAUGCAGUGUAACAUAUGUCAUAACUGCAAAUUAAAACAGUGAUCUCACUCCCGAAGAGACGGCGAAGGGGGCGAAGACAAGUUAUCAAAAAAAGAAGACGGUUCGAAAUACAAAAUGCAAACCGCGAAUUCGUGGACAAUAUGGAUACCGUAUGCCACCAAGAAGUCAAGGUCAUAUGUCGUCCACGGUUAUUCCUGUCAAACACAAUUUGAAGCUUUGGGGUACAUUUGGAUGCCACGUGAAACCACGAAGCGGCGGAGUGGUAGCCAUGACAUCAACUGAAUCUUGCAGAGAGCUCCGUUGCACACGUAUGACCGAUUUCGAUCACCGCAUGACAGCGGGAUGAAGUGAAUGUUCUAUUUUGUUUGAUACUUUUUAUAGAUACAACUAUAUAUAUAUAAUAAAUAUUAACCUUUAUAUUCA